rnacentral:rRNA from 1 species
CGCGUAGGCGGUCUCUUAAGUCAGAUGUGAAAGCCCGGGGCUUAACCCUGGAAGUGCAUUUGAAACUAAGGGACUUGAGUAUGGGAGAGGGAAGUGGAAUUCCUGGUGUAGAGGUGAAAUUCGUAGAUAUCAGGAGGAACACCGGUGGCGAAGGCGACUUCCUGGACCAAUACUGACGCUAAGGCGCGAAGGCGUGGGGAGCAAACAGGAUUAGAUACCCUGGUAGUCC